GGGGGCGCAACGGAUUCGACGGGAUUGUAUCCGUCGUGGGAAGUCGUGCCGGGUUCCGAGCUCCCGUAAAACGAUCGGAAAACAACAACUGCCAAUAAUCAGCAGUUUGCUUACGCUGCUUAAUUAACUGAGUAGCCGCCCCGGGUCGAUGGGCCUGCACGCGAUCCACGGGCGUCAUUUUGCAGGAUAGGUCUGAAGCUUCUGUCCGGAGCGGAAAGGCCGAGAUCAAUCGGGCUAAGCCGUCUGAUUCUUGCCGGUAUCUUAUCAGGCGGACCAAAACUACCGAACCGGAAACGCACGUAGUCUUUUCGCGAUUGACUUUCUCGGACGCGGGUUCAACUCCCGCCGCCUCCACCA
rnacentral:tmRNA from 1 species